rnacentral:rRNA from 1 species
CCCUUAGAUGUCCUGGGCUGCACGCGCGCUACACUGAUGUGUCCAGUAAGCACCUAACCUCUUCCGAAAGGAACGGGUAACCUUUGCAAAGCACAUCGUGAUGGGGAUAGAUUAUUGCAAUUAUUAGUCUUGAACGAGGAAUUCCUAGUAAGCACAAGUCAUCAGCUUGUGUUGAUUACGUCCCUGCCCUUUGUACACACCGCCUGUCGCUCCUACCGAUUGAAUGUUCCGGUGAGCUCUUCGGACUGCGCGGUCUGCAGUUUCUGCGUUCCGUGCGGAAAGUUGCGCAAACCUUAACAUUUAGAGGAAGGAGAAGUCGUAACA